rnacentral:rRNA from 1 species
AACGAACGCUGGCGGCAUGCUUAACACAUGCAAGUCGAACGGGCUUAUGGGGCUUGCUCCAUAAGUUAGUGGCAGACGGGUGAGUAACGCGUGGGAAUGUACCUUUUGGUUCGGAAUAACUGCGGGAAACUGUGGCUAAUACCGGAUAAGCCCGUGAGGGGAAAGAUUUAUCGCCAAAAGAGCAGCCCGCGUUAGAUUAGGUAGUUGGUGGGGUAAUGGCCUACCAAGCCUGCGAUCUAUAGCUGGUCUGAGAGGAUGAUCAGCCACACUGGGACUGAGACAUGGCCCAGACUCCUACGGGAGGCAGCAGUGGGGAAUAUUGGACAAUGGGGGAAACCCUGAUCCAGCAAUGCCGCGUGAGUGAUGAAGGCCUUCGGGUUGUAAAGCUCUUUUGUCAGGGACGAUGAUGACGGUACCUGACGAAUAAGCUCCGGCUAACUUCGUGCCAGCAGCCGCAGUAA